AGAACGAACGCUGGCGGCAGGCCUCAAACAUGCAAGUCUAGGGGGUGUAGCAAUACAUCACCGGCGGACGGGUGCGUAACGCGUGGGAAUGUACCUAUUGGUUCGGAACAACUGAGGGAAACUUCAGCUAAUACCGGAUGAGCCCGCAAGGGGAAAGAUUUCUCGCCAAUAGAUCAGCCCGCGUCCGAUUAGCUAGUUGGUGGGGUUAAAGCCUACCAAGGCAACGAUCGGUAGCUGUUCUGAGAGGAAGAUCAGCCACACUGGGACUGAGACACGGCCCAGACUCCUACGGGAGGCAGCAGUUGGGAAUCUGGACAAUGGGGGAAACCCUGAUCCAGCCAUGCCGCGUGAGUGAUGAAGGCCUUCGGGUUGUAAAACUCUUUCGGACGGGACGAUAAUGACGGUACCGUAGAAGAGCUCGGCUAACUUCGCGCCAGCAGCCGC
rnacentral:rRNA from 1 species